AUUGAACGCUGGCGGAAUGCUUUACACAUGCAAGUCGAACGGCAGCACGGGGCAACCUGGUGGCGAGUGGCGAACGGGUGAGUAAUACAUCGGAACGUGCCCAAUCGUGGGGGAUAACGUAGCGAAAGUUACGCUAAUACCGCAUACGAUCUACGGAUGAAAGCGGGGGAUCGCAAGACCUCGCGCGAGUGGAGCGGCCGAUGUCAGAUUAGGUAGUUGGUGGGGUAAAGGCUCACCAAGCCAACGAUCUGUAGCUGGUCUGAGAGGACGACCAGCCACACUGGAACUGAGACACGGUCCAGACUCCUACGGGAGGCAGCAGUGGGGAAUUUUGGACAAUGGGGGAAACCCUGAUCCAGCCAUGCCGCGUGCAGGAUGAAGGCCUUCGGGUUGUAAACUGCUUUUGUACGGAACGAAAAGACUCUUUCUAAUACAGAGGGUCCAUGACGGUACCGUAAGAAUAAGCACCGGCUAACUACGUG
rnacentral:rRNA from 1 species